rnacentral:rRNA from 1 species
GACAGAGGAUGCAAGCGUUGCUCGGAAUCACUGGGCGUAAAGGGUGCGUAGGCGGGUCUUUAAGUCAGGGGUGAAAUCCUGGAGCUCAACUCCAGAACUGCCUUUGAUACUGAAGAUCUUGAGUUCGGGAGAGGUGAGUGGAACUGCGAGUGUAGAGGUGAAAUUCGUAGAUAUUCGCAAGAACACCAGUGGCGAAGGCGGCUCACUGGCCCGAUACUGACGCUGAGGCACGAAAGCGUGGGGAGCAAACAGG